CUACGGGUCGCACCAGUGAGGAAUAUUGCACAAUGGGGGGAACCCUGAUGCAGCAACGCCGCGUGGAGGAUGACGCAUUUCGGUGUGUAAACUCCUUUUAUAUGUCAAGAAAAUGACGGUAGCAUAUGAAUAAGCACCGGCUAACUCCGUGCCAGCAGCCGCGGUAAUACGGAGGGUGCAAGCGUUACUCGGAAUCACUGGGCGUAAAGGACGCGUAGGCGGGUUGGAAAGUCAGGUGUGAAAUCCUACAGCUUAACUGUAGAACUGCACUUGAAACUUCUAAUCUAGAGUGUGGGAGGGGGAGAUGGAAUUAGUGGUGUAGGGGUAAAAUCCGUAGAUAUCACUAGGAAUACCUAAAGCGAAGGCGAUCUCCUGGAACAUUACUGACGCUAAGGCGUGAAGGCGUGGGGAGCAAACAGGAUUAGAUACCCUCGUAGUC
rnacentral:rRNA from 1 species